rnacentral:rRNA from 1 species
AGUGAACGCUGGCGGUAGGCCUAACACAUGCAAGUCGAACGGCAGCACAGUAAGAGCUUGCUCUUACGGGUGGCGAGUGGCGGACGGGUGAGGAAUACAUCGGAAUCUACUUUUUCGUGGGGGAUAACGUAGGGAAACUUACGCUAAUACCGCAUACGACCUACGGGUGAAAGCAGGGGAUCUUCGGACCUUGCGCGAUUGAAUGAGCCGAUGUCGGAUUAGCUAGUUGGCGGGGUAAAGGCCCACCAAGGCGACGAUCCGUAGCUGGUCUGAGAGGAUGAUCAGCCACACUGGAACUGAGACAAGGUCCAGACUCCUACGGGAGGCAGCAGUGGGGAAUAUUGGACAAUGGGCGCAAGCCUGAUCCAGCCAUACCGCGUGGGUGAAGAAGGCCUUCGGGUUGUAAAGCCCUUUUGUUGGGAAAGAAAAGCAGCAGGUUAAUACCCCGCUGUUCUGACGGUACCCAAAGGAUAAGCACCGGCUAACUUCGUG